rnacentral:rRNA from 1 species
AGAGUUUGAUCAUGGCUCAGAACGUACGCUGGCGGCACGCCUUAUACAUGCAAGUCGAACGAAGUAGCAAUACUUAGUGGCAGACGGGUGAGUAACAUGUAGGUAUCUUCCCUUUGGUGAGGAAUAACACGAGGAAACUUGUGCUAAUACCUCAUAAGUCUUUACGGAGAAAGCUUUAUGCGCCGAAGGAUGAGCCUGCACUUGAUUAGUUUGUUGGUGGGGUAAUGGCCUACCAAGACUUUGAUCUAUAGCUGAUCUGAGAGGAUGAUCAGCCACAUUGGGACUGAGACACGGCCCAAACUCCUACGGGAGGCAGCAGUAGGGAAUAUUGCACAAUGGAGGAAACUCUGAUGCAGCGAUGCCGCGUGAGUGAAGAAGGCCUUUGGGUUGUAAAGCUCUUUCGUCGGGGAAGAAAAUGACUGUACCCGAAUAAGAAGGUCCGGCUAACUUCGUGCCAGCAGCCGCGGUAAUACGAAGGGACCUAGCGUAGUUCGGAAUUACUGGGCUUAAAGAGUUCGUAGGUGGUUAAAAAAGUUGGUGGUGAAAUCCCAGAGCUUAACUCUGGAACUGCCAUCAAAACUUUUUAGCUAGAGUGUGAUAGAGGAAAGCAGAAUUUCUAGUGUAGAGGUGAAAUUCGUAGAUAUUAGAAAGAACACCAAAUGCGAAGGCAACUUACUGGGUCACUACUGACACUGAGGAGCGAAAGCAUGGGUAGCGAAGAGGAUUAGAUACCCUCGUAGUCCAUGCCGUAAACGAUGUGUGCUAGACGUUGGAAAUAUAUUUUUCAGUGUCGCAGCGAAAGCAUUAAGCACACCGCCUGGGGGAGUACGACCGCAAGGUUAAAACUCAAUGAAUUGACGGGGACCCGCACAAGCAGUGGAGCAUGUGGU